rnacentral:rRNA from 1 species
UUAUAUUCUGUAGCAAGGUUAACCGUAUAGGGGAGCCGCAGGGAAACCGAGUCUUAACCGGGCGUUAAGUUGCAGGGUAUAGACCCGAAACCCGGUGAUCUAGCCAUGGGCAGGUUGAAGGUUGGGUAACACUAACUGGAGGACCGAACCGACUAAUGUUGAAAAAUUAGCGGAUGACCUGUGGCUGGGGGUGAAAGGCCAAUCAAACCGGGAGAUAGCUGGUUCUCCCCGAAAGCUAUUUAGGUAGCGCCUCGUGAAUUCAUCUCCGGGGGUAGAGCACUGUUUCGGCUAGGGGGCCAUCCCGGCUUACCAACCCGAUGCAAACUGCGAAUACCGGAGAAUGUUAUCACGGGAGACACACGGCGGGUGCUAACGUCCGUCGUGAAGAGGGAAACAACCCAGACCGCCAGCUAAGGUCCCAAAGUCAUGGUUAAGUGGGAAACGAUGUGGGAAGGCCCAGACAGCCAGGAUGUUGGCUUAGAAGCAGCCAUCAUUUAAAGAAAGCGUAAUAGCUCACUGGUCGAGUCGGCCUGCGCGGAAGAUGUAACGGGGCUAAACCAU